rnacentral:rRNA from 1 species
GGGUUGUGAGGUUAAGCGACUAAGCGUACACGGUGGAUGCCCUGGCAGUCAGAGGCGAUGAAGGACGUGCUAAUCUGCGAUAAGCGUCGGUAAGGUGAUAUGAACCGUUAUAACCGGCGAUUUCCGAAUGGGGAAACCCAGUGUGWUUCGWCACACUAUCAUUAACUGAAUCCAUAGGUUAAUGAGGCGAACCGGGGGAACUGAAACAUCUAAGUACCCCGAGGAAAAGAAAUCAACCGAGAUUCCCCCAGUAGCGGCGAGCGAACGGGGAGGAGCCCAGAGCCUGAAUCAGUGUGUGUGUUAGUGGAAGCGUCUGGAAAGGCGCGCGAUACAGGGUGACAGCCCCGUACACAAAAAUGCACAUGCUGUGAGCUCGAUGAGUAGGGCGGGACACGUGGUAUCCUGUCUGAAUAUGGGGGGACCAUCCUCCAAGGCUAAAUACUCCUGACUGACCGAUAGUGAACCAGUACCGUGAGGGAAAGGCGAAAAGAACCCCGGCGAGGGGAGUGAAAAAGAACCUGAAACCGUGUACGUACAAGCAGUGGGAGCACAGAGCAAUCUGUGUGACUGCGUACCUUUUGUAUAAUGGGUCAGCGACUUAUAUUCUGUAGCAAGGUUAACCGAAUAGGGGAGCCGAAGGGAAACCGAGUCUUAACUGGGCGUUAAGUUGCAGGGUAUAGACCCGAAACCCGGUGAUCUAGCCAUGGGCAGGUUGAAGGUUGGGUAACACUAACUGGAGGACCGAACCGACUAAUGUUGAAAAAUUAGCGGAUGACUUGUGGCUGGGGGUGAAAGGCCAAUCAAACCGGGAGAUAGCUGGUUCUCCCCGAAAGCUAUUUAGGUAGCGCCUCGUGAAUUCAUCUCCGGGGGUAGAGCACUGUUUCGGCAAGGGGGUCAUCCCGACUUACCAACCCGAUGCAAACUGCGAAUACCGGAGAAUGUUAUCACGGGAGACNGGGCGUUAAGUUGCAGGGUAUAGACCCGAAACCCGGUGAUCUAGCCAUGGGCAGGUUGAAGGUUGGGUAACACUAACUGGAGGACCGAACCGACUAAUGUUGAAAAAUUAGCGGAUGACUUGUGGCUGGGGGUGAAAGGCCAAUCAAACCGGGAGAUAGCUGGUUCUCCCCGAAAGCUAUUUAGGUAGCGCCUCGUGAAUUCAUCUCCGGGGGUAGAGCACUGUUUCGGCAAGGGGGUCAUCCCGACUUACCAACCCGAUGCAAACUGCGAAUACCGGAGAAUGUUAUCACGGGAGACACACGGCGGGUGCUAACGUCCGUCGUGAAGAGGGAAACAACCCAGACCGCCAGCUAAGGUCCCAAAGUCAUGGUUAAGUGGGAAACGAUGUGGGAAGGCCCAGACAGCCAGGAUGUUGGCUUAGAAGCAGCCAUCAUUUAAAGAAAGCGUAAUAGCUCACUGGUCGAGUCGGCCUGCGCGGAAGAUGUAACGGGGCUAAACCAUGCACCGAAGCUGCGGCAGCGACACUGUGUGUUGUUGGGUAGGGGAGCGUUCUGUAAGCCUGUGAAGGUGURCUGUGAGGYAUGCUGGAGGUAUCAGAAGUGCGAAUGCUGACAUAAGUAACGAUAAAGCGGGUGAAAAGCCCGCUCGCCGGAAGACCAAGGGUUCCUGUCCAACGUUAAUCGGGGCAGGGUGAGUCGACCCCUAAGGCGAGGCCGAAAGGCGUAGUCGAUGGGAAACAGGUUAAUAUUCCUGUACUUGGUGUUACUGCGAAGGGGGGACGGAGAAGGCUAUGUUGGCCGGGCGACGGUUGUCCCGGUUUAAGCGUGUAGGCUGGUUUUCCAGGCAAAUCCGGAAAAUCAAGGCUGAGGCGUGAUGACGAGGCACUACGGUGCUGAAGCAACAAAUGCCCUGCUUCCAGGAAAAGCCUCUAAGCAUCAGGUAACAUCAAAUCGUACCCCAAACCGACACAGGUGGUCAGGUAGAGAAUACCAAGGCGCUUGAGAGAACUCGGGUGAAGGAACUAGGCAAAAUGGUGCCGUAACUUCGGGAGAAGGCACGCUGAUAUGUAGGUGAAGUCCCUCGCGGAUGGAGCUGAAAUCAGUCGAAGAUACCAGCUGGCUGCAACUGUUUAUUAAAAACACAGCACUGUGCAAACACGAAAGUGGACGUAUACGGUGUGACGCCUGCCCGGUGCCGGAAGGUUAAUUGAUGGGGUCAGCGCAAGCGAAGCUCUUGAUCGAAGCCCCGGUAAACGGCGGCCGUAACUAUAACGGUCCUAAGGUAGCGAAAUUCCUUGUCGGGUAAGUUCCGACCUGCACGAAUGGCGUAAUGAUGGCCAGGCUGUCUCCACCCGAGACUCAGUGAAAUUGAACUCGCUGUGAAGAUGCAGUGUACCCGCGGCAAGACGGAAAGACCCCGUGAACCUUUACUAUAGCUUGACACUGAACAUUGAGCCUUGAUGUGUAGGAUAGGUGGGAGGCUUUGAAGUGUGGACGCCAGUCUGCAUGGAGCCGACCUUGAAAUACCACCCUUUAAUGUUUGAUGUUCUAACGUGGACCCGUGAUCCGGGUUGCGGACAGUGUCUGGUGGGUAGUUUGACUGGGGCGGUCUCCUCCUAAAGAGUAACGGAGGAGCACGAAGGUUGGCUAAUCCUGGUCGGACAUCAGGAGGUUAGUGCAAUGGCAUAAGCCAGCUUGACUGCGAGCGUGACGGCGCGAGCAGGUGCGAAAGCAGGUCAUAGUGAUCCGGUGGUUCUGAAUGGAAGGGCCAUCGCUCAACGGAUAAAAGGUACUCCGGGGAUAACAGGCUGAUACCGCCCAAGAGUUCAUAUCGACGGCGGUGUUUGGCACCUCGAUGUCGGCUCAUCACAUCCUGGGGCUGAAGUAGGUCCCAAGGGUAUGGCUGUUCGCCAUUUAAAGUGGUACGCGAGCUGGGUUUAGAACGUCGUGAGACAGUUCGGUCCCUAUCUGCCGUGGGCGCUGGAGAACUGAGGGGGGCUGCUCCUAGUACGAGAGGACCGGAGUGGACGCAUCACUGGUGUUCGGGUUGUCAUGCCAAUGGCACUGCCCGGUAGCUAAAUGCGGAAGAGAUAAGUGCUGAAAGCAUCUAAGCACGAAACUUGCCCCGAGAUGAGUUCUCCCUGACCCUUUAAGGGUCCUGAAGGAACGUUGAAGACGACGACGUUGAUAGGCCGGGUGUGUAAGCGCAGCGAUGCGUUGAGCUAACCGGUACUAAUGAACCGUGAGGCUUAACCUUACAACGCCGAAGGUGUUU